GACGAACGCUGGCGGCGUGCUUAACACAUGCAAGUCGAACGGAAAGGCCCUGCUUUUGUGGGGUGCUCGAGUGGCGAACGGGUGAGUAACACGCGAGUAACCUGCCCUUGACUUUGGGAUAACUUCAGGAAACUGGGGCUAAUACCGGAUAGGAGCUCCUGCUGCAUGGUGGGGGUUGGAAAGUUUCGGCGGUUGGGGAUGGACUCGCGGCUUAUCAGCUUGUUGGUGGGGUAGUGGCUUACCAAGGCUUUGACGGGUAGCCGGCCUGAGAGGGUGACCGGCCACAUUGGGACUGAGAUACGGCCCAGACUCCUACGGGAGGCAGCAGUGGGGAAUAUUGCACAAUGGGCGGAAGCCCGAUGCAGCAACGCCGCGUGCGGGAUGACGGCCUUCGGGUUGUAAACCGCUUUCGCCUGUGACGAAGCGUGAGUGACGGUAAUGGGUAAAGAAGCACCGGCUAACUACGUGCCAGCAGCCGCGGUGAUACGUAGGGUGCGAGCGUUGUCCGGAUUUAUUGGGCGUAAAGGGCUCGUAGGUGGUUGAUCGCGUCGGAAGUGUAAUCUUGGGGCUUAACCCUGAGCGUGCUUUCGAUACGGGUUGACUUGAGGAAGGUAGGGGAGAAUGGAAUUCCUGGUGGAGCGGUGGAAUGCGCAGAUAUCAGGAGGAACACCAGUGGCGAAGGCGGUUCUCUGGGCCUUUCCUGACGCUGAGGAGCGAAAGCGUGGGGAGCGAACAGGCUUAGAUACCCUGGUAGUCCACGCUGUAAACGGUGGGUACUAGGUGUGGGGUCCAUUCCACGGGUUCCGUGCCGUAGCUAACGCUUUAAGUACCCCGCCUGGGGAGUACGGCCGCAAGGCUAAAACUCAAAGGAAUUGACGGGGCCCCGCACAAGCGGCGGAGCAUGCGGAUUAAUUCGAUGCAACGCGUAGAACCUUACCUGGGUUUGACAUGGAUCGGGAGUGCUCAGAGAUGGGUGUGCCUCUUUUGGGGUCGGUUCACAGGUGGUGCAUGGCUGUCGUCAGCUCGUGUCGUGAGAUGUUGGGUUAAGUCCCGCAACGAGCGCAACCCUUGUUCACUGUUGCCAGCACGUUAUGGUGGGGACUCAGUGGAGACCGCCGGGGUCAACUCGGAGGAAGGUGGGGAUGACGUCAAGUCAUCAUGCCCCUUAUGUCCAGGGCUUCACGCAUGCUACAAUGGCUGGUACAGAGAGUGGCGAGCCUGUGAGGGUGAGCGAAUCUCGGAAAGCCGGUCUCAGUUCGGAUUGGGGUCUGCAACUCGACCUCAUGAAGUCGGAGUCGCUAGUAAUCGCAGAUCAGCAACGCUGCGGUGAAUACGUUCCCGAGGCU
rnacentral:rRNA from 1 species